rnacentral:lncRNA from 1 species
GUUAUUGUGCCUGUUUUAUCCCAAGUAUAUACACUCUAUUUUUUUGCUUGAAAUUGCAGAAGUAUGUGUAAAUAUAUAUGUUAAUCUUAUCUAGAUGUAUCAUUGGGUCCCCUAAUAGCAUUAAUUUGACUACCAUUCGAGCUGAAUCGGGAAGAAAACAAAUUGCAGUAGGAUGUAGUUCUUGCAUUGAGGAGUUGGCUGCUUUUAAUCAUUCGUGUAUUUGACAAAGGUGAAAGUGCCACUUAUGGGAGUCGGUCUUGCCUUUGUGGACUAAAUGGAUUUCUUAAGGUCAUAAAGCUGCAAUACACAUUUCUGAUUUUGAUCUCCUUUGGUGUAAUGAACAUACUUUAAUGUACUUUUCAAACUUGUUUCUGUGCCUUGGAGAGUAAAGUACAUUUCUACCUUGUAUAUAAGAAAACAACUUUCCUUUCCUCUUGCCACGUGGAUUCUUAAUUUUCUGACAAGUGGCAAGAUUGAGUAUUUCUUGCAAAUUAUCUAAAGCUUCUCUUGUCUAUUUCUUUUCAUUCUUUUGCUAUUGCACCGUUCUUUCCUCAAAUUGCACUGAAGCCUUUUCCUGCUCUGUCUACCACGCGCCUAUUCUGAGCAAAAUUCAGCACAGCUAUUCUGAGCAGUCCAAUCCCAACCGGCUGUGCGACCGAACCCUUCAGGUCAUCACCACUCUUCAAGUCUUCUAUUCCUUUUCUUCUUUUGCCAUUGCUCUGUCUCUUUCCCUAAUUGCCUAUCCUGAGCAAGCCCGCUUCCAGCCGCCUGUGCUACCAAACCCAUCAGUCAACAACCCUCUUCAACAACCCAAUUCCAUGAUUUGGGCGAUGGGUUUUGUGACUGCCUUCUUUAAGCCAGCAGGUCAACUGCUACUCCUGCAGGCGCUCGAUAUGCUGGUCAUUCACGUGGUCUUUGUACUUGAGAGCAGGAGAAUUGGGCGCAGGUGAACUGCUUUGCUUACACUGCCCGUUUUUCCCUCUUUCUCUAAUAUCCAAUUAACCCGUUUCUGUAUCAAUUUCGUUUCAUGUUGCCGAAUUGUUGGAGCCUCACGUGAUAAUUGUACUUCAAAGGAGUGAAAUGGGGAACUUUUUGUUAGGUAUGCCAUUCUAUUCUGAUCAGCUUUGGUAUUCAAUUUUCCGCCCAAAUUAUGCUUUCUAUUCAACCUUCAUCAUCCGUAUGAUUACGAUUAGAAAUAUCUGCUUGGAUGUGAUUUUUCUCUUAUUCCAGUUAUGAUAAGAAAUAAGAAAUAGGUUUCCUAUUCACUUAGCCUGUACCUUUUCCAGUGGCUGACGAAAUCAAAAAAAAUGGGAUGGACGUAUUUAUCAGUGCAUCGUGCUGGCUUCGCUGCCUUGUGGACUGCAAGAAGAAGCCUCCGAGCCUUUACGCCUUGUUCUUUGGAGUCUCUCUGGUGAGAAAAAAACUCCCCCUUUUUUUUGCCAAAUUUUCCUCUUAUGAAUAGCUCGCACAGUAAUAAAUUCUAAUAUACACAUAUGUUUCGAUUCAUAG